AACGAACGCUGGCGGCAUGCCUAACACAUGCAAGUCGAACGAGACCUUCGGGCCUAGUGGCGCACGGGUGCGGAACGCGUGGGAAUCUACCCUCAGGUUCGGAAUAACUCAGAGAAUUUUGAGCUAAUACCGGAUGAUGACGUAAGUCCAAAGAUUUAUCGCCUGAGGUUGAGCCCGCGUAGGAUUAGGAAGUUGGUGAUGUAAAGGCUCACCAAGCCGACGAUCCUUAGCUGGGAAGGGAGGAUGAUCAGCCACACUGGGACUGGGACACGGACCAGACUCCUACGGAAGGCAGCAGUGGGGAAUAUUGGACACUGGGCGAGAGCCUGAUGCAGCAAGGCCGCGUGAGUGAUGAAGGCCUUAGGGUUGUAAAGCUCUUUUAAACGGGAUGAUAAUGACGGUACCGGGAGAAUAAGCGCCGGCUAACUCCGUG
rnacentral:rRNA from 1 species